rnacentral:rRNA from 1 species
AGAGUUUGAUCCUGGCUCAGAAUCAACGCUGGCGGCGCGCUUAACACAUGCAAGUCGAACGAGAAAGUCCGCAAGGAUGAGUACAGUGGCGUACGGGUGAGUAACACGUGGAUCAUCUACCUCUUAGUGGGGAAUAACCCUGGGAAACCGGGGCUAAUACCGCAUAAUCCUGGGAAGGGAAAGUCGCAAGACGCUGAGAG